rnacentral:rRNA from 1 species
CUGACCUCAAAUCAAGUAGGACUACCCGCUGAACUUAAGCAU